rnacentral:tRNA from 1 species
GGAGAGGUGCGAGAGUGGACGAAUCGGCGCGACUGGAAAUCGCGUGGGCGUCUAAAACGGCGCCUCGUGGGUUCGAAUCCCACCCUCUCCG